rnacentral:rRNA from 1 species
AUUGAACGCUGGCGGCAUGCUUUACACAUGCAAGUCGAACGGCAGCGCGGACUUCGGUCUGGCGGCGAGUGGCGAACGGGUGAGUAAUAUAUCGGAACGUACCCAAGAGUGGGGGAUAACGUAGCGAAAGUUACGCUAAUACCGCAUACGAUCUAAGGAUGAAAGCAGGGGAUCGCAAGACCUUGUGCUCCUGGAGCGGCCGAUAUCUGAUUAGCUAGUUGGUGAGGUAAAGGCUCACCAAGGCAACGAUCAGUAGCUGGUCUGAGAGGACGACCAGCCACACUGGAACUGAGACACGGUCCAGACUCCUACGGGAGGCAGCAGUGGGGAAUUUUGGACAAUGGGGGCAACCCUGAUCCAGCAAUGCCGCGUGAGUGAAGAAGGCCUUCGGGUUGUAAAGCUCUUUUGUCAGGGAAGAAAAGGCUGUGGCUAAUAUCCACAGCUGCUGACGGUACCUGAAGAAUAAGCACCGGCUAACUACGUGCCAGCAGCCGCGUAA